rnacentral:rRNA from 1 species
GACGAACGCUGGCGGCGUGCUUAACACAUGCAAGUCGAGGGCACUUUGGGGGCAACCCUGGAGUGACCGGCGAACGGGUGCGUAACACGUGAGCGACCUUGCCUCGUGGUGGGGGAUAGCCGGCCCAACGGCCGGGUAAUACCGCAUAUGGUGCUGACUCCGCAUGGAGACGGCAGCAAAGCCCUGGAGCAAUCCAGUGGCGCCACGAGGGGGGGCUCGCGGCCUAUCAGCUAGGUUGGGGGGUAAUGGCCCACCAAGGCGACGACGGGUAGCUGGUCUGAGAGGAUGGCCAGCCACAUUGGGACU